rnacentral:lncRNA from 1 species
AACCUUGAUUCCUCUAAAAAAAAAUACUUCUACAUGCAUCCAAAAUAAAAAACAUUGAUAUUUCUUAAACACAUUAUAGUAUCUUAGUCAUAAAAAAAUUUCCAUCCACCGUACAUUAGAGUCUACAUGUCCUAAACUCUCCCAUUCUUCUCCAAUUACGAUUCCUUUAAAAUCAUGCUCCACACACAUCUAACAUAAAUCCAUUCCUUGAAUGUCCAAAAUAAAUAUUGCACAUUCCUUCCACAAAAAUAUUUUCUCAUGCAUCUAAAAGAAAAAAUGUGC